UUUCGCUCCCUGUGCUUUCUGGGUAGGCUCUGGGAUGCUGCGAUCAUUCCCAGGAACGCUCAGCGGUGUGACGACGGGCCUGUAUCCUGAAUCCUUGAGGCUCAAGCUGAGAACGUCUCGCCUCUCGAUGCUCGUCAGCCUGAAGCAUCAGAUGGAAUUUCGCUUGGUGGAGAGCUGAACCAGGACGACUACAUCAUCCAUACUCAUUUCUUCAGCGUCGCCCAGGGCGUGACUGCGUGACUGGGAUGGAGGCGCCGCAACCCACGGGCUCGAGACGAGGGGCCGUGCCCACGGCCACUCCUUCAGCUCGUCACGACCGUCGCGUCUUUACCGCAGCAAGGCCG
rnacentral:lncRNA from 1 species